AUGAAAUUCCCUCUAUCCCCA
rnacentral:tRNA from 1 species